rfam:Gemmobacter megaterium strain DSM 26375 genome assembly, contig: Ga0111664_101
GGUUCGGGAGCCCGCCGGUGGGACGGCGGGCAGGCAUGGAACCCAAGACAUCCGCGUUCGAAAGGCGCUCCUCCGUGGCCCGACGGAGAGACGCG